rnacentral:rRNA from 1 species
CCUACGGGAGGCAGCAGUGGGGAAUAUUGCGCAAUGGGCGAAAGCCUGACGCAGCGACGCCGCGUGAGGGAUGAAGGUCUUCGGAUCGUAAACCUCUGUCAGCAGGGAAGAACGGUCACUGUGCUAAUCAGCAGUGAAUUGACGGUACCUGCAAAGGAAGCACCGGCUAACUCCGUGCCAGCAGCCGCGGUAAUAAGGGGGGUGCGGGCGUUAAUCGGAAUUACUGGGCGUAAAGCGCUCGUAGGCGGUAUGUCAAGUCAAGGGGGAAAUCCCCGCGCUCAACGUGGGAACUGCCUUUGAAACUGGCAAACUGGAGUGUGUGAGAGGAUAGUGGAAUUCCAGGUGUAGGAGUGAAAUCCGUAGAUAUCUGGAGGAACAUCAGUGGCGAAGGCGACUAUCUGGCACAUAACUGACGCUGAGGAGCGAAAGCGUGGGUAGCAAACAGGAUUAGAUACCCUUGUAGUC